rnacentral:rRNA from 1 species
GAUGAACGCUGGCGGCGUGCCUAAUACAUGCAAGUCGAGCGAACAGACGAGGAGCUUGCUCCUCUGACGUUAGCGGCGGACGAGUGAGUAACACGUGGAUAACCUACCUCUAAGACUGGGAUAACUUCGGGAAACCGGAGCUAAUACCGGAUAAUAUAUUGAACCGCAUGGUUCAAUAGUUAAAGACGGUUUUGCUGUCACUUAUAGCUUGAUCCGCCCCGCAUUAGCUAGUUGGUAAGGUAACGGCUUACCAAGGCAACGAUUCGUAGCCGACCUGAGAGGGUGAUCGGCAACACUGGAACUGAGAAAGGGUACAGACUCCUACGGGAGGCAGCAGUAGGGAAUCUUCCGCAAGGGGCGAAAGCCGGACGGAGAAACGCCGCGUGAGUGAUGAAGGACUACGGAUCGGAAAACUCUGUUAGUAGGGAAGAACAAAUGUGUAAGUAACUAUGAACGUCUUGACGGUACCGAAUCAGAAAGCCACGGCUAACUACGUG